rnacentral:lncRNA from 1 species
GGCUGAGCAGAGCUGAGAUUGGCUCAGCCCCUGGCAUGGUUUUCCCCUCUGCCCUGUACCCUCCCCUUACACCUCUCCCCCAGGCUCCUGGGACCUGAGCAGCUGUGGCAGCUACUCCCCUCAGAUUGGUAAUAGAUUCUGUGCACUUAUCCUACAAAAUGUACAAAGUUCUUUUUGACUUUGUGGACCCUACUUGGUGUCUCAAACAGGUCACCCUAUCCACUGUAACACGGAACUGCCCCUCAUCAGAGAUCUGCUUUAUUGGAACACUAUGGACAAGAGUGGAUCAUGGCCAGGCAUGAAGAGGAAUGGAUCUCAUUUUUGGUGAGAAAACCUUGUAUUCUAUAUUUUCUUAGCUGACACAGUGUGUCAAUGAUUAUAAACUAUAUUUUUAUUUUUAAAACUUUUAUUAUAUUUUUCUUGCAUGUGCAAUAUACUAUUUCAGUCUUUUGUUAAAAAAAAUUAUGGGACUUUGCUUAAUGAUGCUGUCUGAUUCCAGGACAAGAUAUACAAAAGAGCCAUUGCACAGGGCCAAAGAAGCACAAAGCUAAACCUGAAUCGUGCCAUAAGAGCACACAGGUCAAAAAAAAAAAAAAGAGAAACCAAUCCAGGAAAGAUUGAUGCACUUCCAAGCCAAUACAAAGGACUUGAAUCUAGUGUGAAGAUUCAAGGUUGUGAUGCUUAACAUACGUUAAGACGUAGGCCUUCCUUGAAUUCAAACUCUGUGAAAAUACUUACAGAUGAGUAUCUCAAAUUUGGCUCCUACCUGGCUCUUAUAAUCUGGUCCCUAUCUGUCUUUAAUAGUGUGGCAACUUUCUAUAGUCCUGGCUACUGACUGGAUAAAUGCUUACUUGCUUAUAUCAUUUUAAUUGGGCCCUGAUUCAAGGACCUGUUAUAGAUUUAUCUUUCCUUUACUUAGAAUUUUUAUACACAAGACUUUGAUAGUCUAUAUUUCAUCCAGAAAUUAUCUUUUAUUUUUAUUUUUUCUGAUUUUUUUAUUUCUCUUGCCAAUUGAUUCAUAUAUCUCAUAACUCAGCCAUGCAUCCCUACAUGAUCCCUGUGUUUUUCAAUCACCCUCUUCAGGGGGGUAUGUAAAAAUGUAAAAUUUAUUAUUAUUUUAAAUUGCAAAGUUUAAAUUCCUCGAGAGAGAAAUUUUAGGUUAAGAAACAUGCUACAAAUCCAGAAACUGAACUGUUUGGAGACGACACCACGAAGCUGCCUCCACAGACCACAAGCUUCAUGAGAAAGAUCAAGAAUGAAUUUUGGGUGUGGUUGAUUGAACAUUUAAUUUGUAUGUAUACUUUCAUGCCAAAGGGGACUGCCCCUUAACUGGCUUUUUGUCAGUGUACCUAGCAAUUAUUAGUUUUGUUCUCUUUUCCUUUUAUCCACAAAUUAUUGCAAUCUUUAAGAUGAUUAUGUAUUCAUGAUCCUUUGGGGAAACUUUUCCCAAUAGGAUCAUGGGGGGUGGGGGGUGGGGGUGGAUGUAAAAACGGAGAUUUGAACCCUAGACUUCAAUCCCCAGAAGUUCAUGGUACUUCCCAGAAUUCCCUAUAAUCUCACCUGAGUCUCCACCUGGGGCGAGAUCACAAUUUAGUAUUUAAAGGGCUCUCUGCCUCCCAAGAGCUCUCUUCCUCUACCUGGAGAUGACAAGAUGUAGCAAGUAGAUUGUGAAUGGGCUAAUCAGCCUAGGCACGUGGUUUUUUCUAUUUUGUAUUUUCUUUAUCCUUAAUUCUAAUAAUCCUUAAUAAAUCU